GUCCACAUAGCUCAGUCAGUAGAGCAUGAGACUCUUACUCUCAGGAUUGUGGGCACAAACCCCAUGUUGGGUG